UUUCCUGGUGUCCCCAUCUUUGCUGCCUUCUGUGAGUUUGAUCAUGUGGACUCCGUGGAGUUUGGCCACUGCUGGGCAGUGCAGCCAAACAAAGUGAGCAAAAGUAGGCUGGAGGGCCCUGUGGGUGAGUGGGGCCAGGCUGGCUGUGGUGUCCCAGGAGCCCUGGAGCCCCUUGCGGCUCUUCUGAAAUGGUUUGGGGGCUCCUGCUAUCUGCAAUUGGGAAGUGGAGAGGAUGUGGCUACAGGUGAUGCUAACCCCAAAUCCUUGGGCUCUCUCACACGUGCCUGCGUUAUGCACCGUAUGCUGGAUUUCAGUUCCACCUGUAUGCCAGGCUGAGUCUGACCUGGCAGAGAGGAACAGGCUCCACAGCUCUGGGCAGAAUCCACUGCUGCUCCCACAUGGGGAUGGCCUGGGGAACUGCAGCCCCACUCUAAGUGGAAACCCUUGACAUGUGUUAUACACAAACAACACUUCGGGUGGAACAAGAGGUUUACAAUGAUCUGUCUGGGACCCAUAAUACAAUUCAGCAUCUCUUUAGAGUUUCAGUCUAUCAAACAUUUUCAACUAUUUCACUUAACCUUUAUCAUUAUUGAAAUGCUUGGGGGAAAAAAAAAAAAACUCCACAUUUAAGAUUUCCGAGGCAGAAGCAUCACCAGCAGCCUCAAGAGCCAUUCCAAAAGACAUCGUCUCCAGGCUUGUUACCUCUUAUCCUCCCUUCAUUAUGUUAUAGAACUCUUCUUCUUAGAGAGAUUGCCUAGAAAGAGGUAAAGAUUAAUAGACAUCGUCCGCCCCAUUUGCAGCCGAGGAAAUGAGACUCAGAGUGGCAAAGUGACUUUUUCAGAAUCACAGCAGUAAAUGGUAGCAUUAAGAAGCUAAGCCUGAUCAUCUUGCUCUUGUCCUGCUGAGGAGAAAGUGAGAGCAAAGCGGGGAAUAAAACCCAGCUCAUCCCCCUGUUCCUCCUGCCCAACCCGUGCCAAGACUUCAGGUAACAGAAGAAAGAGAACACUGGGUAGGGACAUGCUAGGACCGGAAUAGCUGUGUGUGUCCUGCAGACCACGAGUGUGGAGUCCAUGGCCGUGUGAAGGGGGUGGGGUCCCAGUCCUAAAAGCAGGAUCAUGGAAGUUACCUUGGAGGACCAGACGAGGA